rnacentral:lncRNA from 1 species
CAUCUGGUGUCAGCGGCUCCUCCCCUGGCUGGCGGUGAUAAAGGCAGGGCCUGGUCCCUGCUCGCUGUCUGCUGGAGCUGCAGCAAUGUGGGCGGCCCUUCUCCUCCUGCUGUGGCUGAGCCCUGUGGUCUCCCAGUUGAACAUAGGCAGUUGCUCCCAACCGAACCCCCUCUGCUGCCAGGGAUUCAAUCACAGCUGCAUCAGGGGAACCUGCUUCUGCGAUGACUACUGCAUCAAUAUCUCAGAGUGCUGUGUGGACUACAGAGCUGUCUGCCGCCCCAGUGACUCCCUGCCUCUCGGGGACAAGAUGGUGCUACGUAUGGUGCUGAGGAUACAGAGCCCUCCCUGCCCUGACAGCAGCAAUCCAGACUUGGUGCAGAGCAUGGUGAGUGCCCCCGAGGUCCCCCCAGGGUGGGUGCCCCCUGCUCCUGCCUCCCACCCAGGGAGCGAUGACCCAAGGGACAAAGUGUCCCUGAGCUCAGCCGAGCAGCUCCCCUGCAACAGUGGCUUUCAGGACCGAGCUGGGAUUUCUGCCCAGGGAUAAGGGAAUUUUAAUUUCAUUUCAUUUUUAAUGUAUCUUGAAAUGUUAUUCUUUUGAUCCCCCCCCCAUUUAAAAAUGUAGAAAACAAGCUGGGCGUGGUGGCAUAUGCCUGUAAUUCCAGCGCUUGGGAGGCUGAGGCAGGAGGAUCACCAGUAGUUUGAGGCCAGCCUGGGCUAGGUAGUGAAUUCAAGGUCAGCCAAAAAUAUUUCUUUAAAAGAAUGUAGAGCACAUUCUUAGCUUUCAAACUGUACAAAAACAGGCAGUGGUUUGCUACCCUCCUCCCUCUGCCUGCUCUGUCCCCUCCUUUCCUUUGGUGUCCUGGCUGCAGCCCUGAUGGGCACAGACCCUCAGCAGCCCUGGGGGCUGUGUCUGGACCCCAGCCCUGGCCCUUCAGUAUGGGCAGAAACAGAGGCAGCAUGGGAUGGGCGGAGGGCAGGGCCUCAAGGGGCAGGUGGACCUGUCUUCAACCACUUCACCACUUUGUCUCCGGGGGACCACUUGGGACUCCCCCUUAGCCUUUCUCUUGCUUCCUUUUUGCUUUCUGUUUUUUGAGUCAAGGUCUUACCAUGUAGUUCAGGCUGGCCUCCAACUCACCACGUAAGCUGCUGGCUUCGAACUUGAAGCAACCCUCCUGCCUCAGCCUCCCAAGUACAGGGAUUAUCCUUUAGCCUUUCUGAGCUCUGUUUCCUCUUCUGUAUCCUGAGCUGGCCAGAAGGCUGUGAUGAAGAUGAGUUGGGAUUAAGUGUGGAAGGGCAUGGCCAGUGCUUGUCCUAGGAGAGGGACCGGGGCUCUGCUUGCUGCUCUCCUAGGCCCAGAAGCUUCUCCAAAGCACUCUGCUGAAGAGGCAGCUCUCCAUGUCUGUGAAGGGAGUCGGGAAGAAAGCCUGAGUCCUCCCUCGGCACGGCUCGCCUGUCCCCACCAUGGCCCAUGGGGCCCAUGCUGCUGGGCCUUUGAUGUCUGCUUUCAUCCUCCGUUUGGUGACUUCUCAGAUCCCCUAACCACAGGAUAGCCGGGACCUGCCUUCGCCCAAACAUACCAAGAUGUGCCCGGGCACAGCAUACAGAUCAUGGAACAUGUAUUUGGCUCAUGGUGGUGUUUUGUUGUUGUCAUUGUUUGAGACAGGGCCUCACUGUGCAGCCCAGGCUGGCCUCAAACUUGCAGCGAUCCUCCUGCCUCGGCCACCAGGGUACUGGGUCACAGGGAGCACCACCAUGCCCGGCCUGGCUCCCGCUGUGAUUCCUCAGGCUGUGGUGGCUACAGGGACAUAGCAAACGUUUCUUUCUUUCUUUCUUUUUUGGUACUGGGGAUCGAACUCAGGACCUCGUGCUUGUGAGCCAGGCAUGGCACCACUGAGCUAAAUCCCCGGCCCGCAAACAUUUUUUGAAGGUGAAAAAUGAGACCCCAGCCAUGUGUCCUCUCCCCUCGUGUGUCCCCUGGGCCCCAGGUGGUGGCUUGCAAGUCUGGAGAGGCCUGGUCUACAGAUUCCUGUCUCUUCUUGGGGUGGAAACAGUGGCGGGACUUCCGGGUGUCCCCUUGCAAGCAGGGUGGCAAACUCGAGCAGGCGAUGCCAGCAUGUGCGUGUCCCUCUGGGCCCAGACUCCUCCUCUGGUUCCUCUGCCCGUGCCUUCUUCCCCGUGGUCCUCUGUUAUGUUCCCAUGUGGAAGUCCUGGGCACAGCUCCACCCUGCUGCUCUGGCCCCUGACUCUUCUCUAAACUGGUCUCGGUCCAGGUCAGAGUCCCCAACCCUGAGCCCGGUCCUGCCAGUUCCCUGCUCCAAAGCCUCCUCUUUGUCACUUAGCCCUGGGACACAGGCCAGCUGACUGCUUGGGGCAGCCGAGUGGCCCAACCCACCAUGAUCCCGCCGAGCCCCCUGGGCUGCUGCUGAUCUACCCACCGCUCUCCAGGUGGAGGUGAUGGCUCAGGAGCCCUUGGGCACAGAGCCCAGCUCUUGACUAAUGGGUUUGUCUUGGCUUAGUCUCUGGGAAUGAUUUGUUUGGCGACAUAAUCCCCAGGAGCAGGGGUUAGGGAAAGGGGAGGAGAAGCAGGGACAGGGGAGAGCCAGC